rnacentral:rRNA from 1 species
AGCGAACGCUGGCGGCAGGCCUAACACAUGCAAGUCGAACGAAGUCUUCGGACUUAGUGGCGGACGGGUGAGUAACACGUGGGAACGUACCUUUUGGUUCGGAACAACUCAGGGAAACUUGAGCUAACACCGGAUGAGCCCUUAGGGGGAAAGAUUUAUCGCCGAAAGAGCGGCCCGCGUUAGAUUAGCUAGUUGGUGAGGUAAAGGCUCACCAAGGCUACGAUCUAUAGCUGGUCUGAGGGGAUGAUCAGCCACACUGGGACUGAGACACGGCCCAGACUCCUACGGGAGGCAGCAGUGGGGAAUCUCGCGCAAUGGGCGAAAGCCUGACGCAGCCAUGCCGCGUGAAUGAUGAAGGUCCUAGGAUUGUAAAAUUCUUUUACCAGGGACGAUAAUGACGGUACCUGGAGAAAAAGCCCCGGCUAACUUCGUGCCAGCCGCCGCAGUAAGAC